UACAGAGGUCUCAAGCGUUGUUCGGAUUCAUUGGGCGUAAAGGGUGCGUAGGCGGCGGCGUAAGUCGGGUGUGAAAUCCCAGGGCUCAACCCUGGAACUGCAUUCGAUACUGCGUUGCUUUGAGGACUGGAGAGGAGACUGGAAUUCACGGUGUAGCAGUGAAAUGCGUAGAUAUCGUGAGGAAGGCCAGUGGCGAAGGCGAGUCUCUGGACAGUUCCUGACGCUGAGGCACGAAGGCCAGGGGAGCAAACGGG
rnacentral:rRNA from 1 species